rnacentral:rRNA from 1 species
AACGCUAGCUACAGGCUUAACACAUGCAAGUCGAGGGGUAGCAGGGUAGCAAUACCGCUGACGACCGGCGCACGGGUGAGUAACACGUACCCAACCUUCCCAUAACUCGGGGAUAGCCUUUCGAAAGAAAGAUUAAUACCCGAUAGUACUUUUUCAAGGCAUCUUGAGAAAGUUAAAGAUUUAUUGGUUAUGGAUGGGGAUGCGUUCCAUUAGAUAGUUGGUGAGGUAACGGCUCACCAAGUCUUCGAUGGAUAGGGGUUCUGAGAGGAAGGUCCCCCACAUUGGUACUGAGACACGGACCAAACUCCUACGGGAGGCAGCAGUGAGGAAUAUUGGUCAAUGGGCGAGAGCCUGAACCAGCCAAGUAGCGUGAAGGAUGAAGGUCCUAUGGAUUGUAAACUUCUUUUAUAGUAGAAUAAAGUGACCCACGUGUGGGUUUUUGUAUGUAUACUAUGAAUAAGGAUCGGCUAACUCCGUGCCAGCAGCCGCGGUAAUACGGAGGAUCCGAGCGUUAUCCGGAUUUAUUGGGUUUAAAGGGUGCGUAGGCGGAAUAAUAAGUCAGUUGUGAAAGUUUGCGGCUCAACCGUAAAAUUGCAGUUGAUACUGUUAUUCUUGAGUGUACAUAAGGUAGGCGGAAUUCGUGGUGUAGCGGUGAAAUGCUUAGAUAUCACGAAGAACUCCGAUUG